CCUGCAGCACAACAAGCGCCUGGAAGUACGGCGGCCGCUACGGAAAUCAAACCUUGCGCGUGUUAAAUUUGGAACCGAUGAUCGGAUUUGAAACCAAAUUUUCCAAACGAU